AUCCAGAUGACGAGCCCCAAACAGGACGAAAUGCGCAUUUUGGAU
rnacentral:hammerhead_ribozyme from 1 species